GGCUGUCAAAACAGAGAGACACAAGAAGCUUGUCAGUAUCAGCGAAUGAAGAGGGUACAGAUGUAUCUCAACUUGAGACAAGAGACGGACGUUUCUCAGCGUGGCAGAAGCUAUGAAAGCACAGGACGAAGACACUUGCUGCAAAAAGGAACCUUUGCCUGGCCAACUCCAUGAUCUCAAGCUUUGGUGGGAGGAGGAUUUGAGUUCAUGGAUCCAUGAACUGCCUUAUCCACGAGGAUUUCCCUUCAAGCUUCGUGUCUUCAUGCCUGCCACAGCGAUUGGAUCUAUCCGAGUCUUUAUUAAUCGUUCAAAGUAUUAACUACUAGGCGUUCAUACCAGUAAAACGUCGAACGCUGCGACGUCAAUUGUGGCAGCUAGCGGCGGCGAAGCAGGGCAUCGCAUGCAGAGAGGGGACAGGAAACGGUUGACUUUGGAUGGAUCGAGAAUUGCUGGUCACACACGGCGUCUCGAGGUCACAUUCAACUCAUUAAUGGCUGUCCAGUCCUUCAGAUACUCCAUGGAGGGAGCGUCACGCCAACAAACAGCAUCGUGGAAAGCAAAGGCCAACCACCAGGAGGAAUAGAUCCAAAGAGUUGCAGGACCCGAUAACUAGAUAUUAAAAUGAUUGAAAAUGAUUCGUCCAAUACAACUAUUACAACUGUGAAUGCAAAGUUAUUCCUGGCAACCAUUUCUGGAGAAAAAGGAUAAUUAGAUAUUAAAAUAGGUUUAUCUUUAGUAAACAAUGAUAAAUUAAGAAACUCUUGUCAUCAUUCUAAGAGCUUGAGAUGGAUGAGUCAGUUAAUUAGUGGUUGUAUUGUUGUUUCCUUUGAGAAUCAAUACCAUUAGUAUCUUUUAA